GGAAAACGACCCGGGAGGAGAGCAUCUGUGAUCAAAAUCUCUCAUUCCCAGAUGCCGUCAGGACCCACUAAACAAGGGUGAACUCGGGUGGUGGUCUCGGUUGGCCAAGGCUGAGUUGAACGCCUCAGGCCAAACCCCAAGUUGAAAGGGAGCAUUGUGGCUUUUAUAAUCCAAUGAUGCAAUGAUGAUACCAGCUUACAGGAGUUCUCAGCAGGUGCUUUUUAUUAACUGAUGAAGAGCUAAGGCUCACUUUUGAUAGAUAAUAUAUAUUUAUUAAAUGCAUUAAUGUGUGUUUUAUAAUGUACCUUUAUCUUCCCCCGGCUGACUGUUGCAUACUUAUAAAAAAGAAGUUAAAGAAAUUUCAAGACAAUCAAUAUGUACCAUAAACGACUAUAUAAAUAUUACAAAUUUAAAAGGUUGUAAAGCAUGGGCAGAUAGGUUUUAUUUUCAAAAUGCUGUUCUUAACACAAAAAUAAAGGCUUUACUAUUUA
rnacentral:sRNA from 1 species